AGGCAUGGAGAGAGUUUAACAGAAUGAGUAUCAGAGAUGUCAUUAUCUUAUAGCGCAUUGAUUGACUCUCUUUUUCUCAAAAACCCAAAACCAGCGAAGCCCCUCUUUUUCUCACCUUCCUCCAUAACUCCUCAAGGUUGUGAUUGAGUGAACCAGACAAAGCUUUCUCAUUGUUGCCCAUUCUUCUUCCCAACACCCACUCACCUCAAACCUGUUAUAUCUCCACCUUUGAGCUCCUUUUCCUCUCUGAUUAGACACGCUCUUGGAAAAUGUUCAUAUGCAAUCUCUGUUGGGUUGGUUCCAUAUCCAUAGUGAAUCAAUUAUCCUUAUUUUUCCCGGAAAAUGAGGGAAAGGGCAGGAAAAUAAUAAAAGACAAACAAGUUACAGGGAAAGCUUUCCCAUGUCACUUUUUUUCUUCCCCCGUACAUUGUAUUCUUCUCGAGUCUUGGGUCUUCAGCAUUCAAACAGAAAAUGAGGAAGCAUGGAUGGCAACUUCCUUACCAUCCUCUUCAGGUGUAGUUUCAAGAAUAUUCGCUUUGGUUUUGUAGCUCAGUCAAUUGAUGUAGUAAUUUUUUUCUGUGUUGUUGUUCUGCAUUUCUGAAGGUGGUAGCUGUUGCUGUAUUUCUGGCCUUGGCCUUUGCUUUCUAUGCGUUCUUUGCUCCUUUUGUUGGAAAUAAAGAUUUUUCAGUACAUUGUGAUGGGCCUCUACGCUCCUCUUAUUACAAGUGUCUUCUUCAGCCUAUAUAUUUGGUGUGCAGCUGCUGAUCCUGCAGAUCCAGGAGUUUUUAGAUCAAAGAAAUAUCUCAAGAUUCCAGCCAAUGAAAAGCAUACUAGAAGAAAAGAUUCUAAACUAUCAACAUCAUCAAUGUGAGAUGCUAAUACUGUAACAGUUGUAGGCAAACUUCUGGAUAAGGAUGUUCUGGGCAAAGAAACGACUUCAAAAAUGUCCACCAGUGAUAGUGGAAAUAAGAAUUCACCUGAAACUUCGUCUUGCAUCCUGUUGCCUUGCUCUCCGUGUGCUUAUAUCUGCAAUUGCGCUAGUUCGAAUGAGGAAUCUUCUAUGCAACAAAUGAGUGAAGAAGGCAUGUUCUUUUGCAGUUUGUGCGAAGUUGAGGUGUGACCACGCACUUGAAUUCUACUAAGAUUAAUGUUUUCCUGGUACAUUUGUUCAGUUGUGUUCUGUAUUCUGUUCUAUAACAAGCAUAGGACUGGAAAGGACUCACUGGGGCUGUCUUCAAUGGCAUUCAUUGAAGUUUGUUUUCAUUUAGGAGAUAUCCUAAUGAAAUUGAAAUUGGUUGUGUUUCAUGAUUGACUAAA